CUACGUAGGGGGCGAGCGUUGUCCGGAAUGAUUGGGCGUAAAGGGCGCGUAGGCGGCGCGGUAAGUCUGGAGUGAAAGUCCUGUUUUUAAGCUGGGAAUUGCUUUGGAUACUGUCGGGCUUGAGUGCAGGAGAGGUAAGUGGAAUUCCCAGUGUAGCGGUGAAAUGCGUAGAGAUUGGGAGGAACACCAGUGGCGAAGGCGACUUACUGGACUGUAACUGAAGCUGAGGGGCGAAAGUGUGGGGAGCAAACAGGAUUAGAUACCCUGGGAGUCCACGCUGUAAACGAUGGGUACUAGGUGUAGGAGGUAUCGCCCCCUUCGGUGCCGGAGUGAACGCAAUAAGUACCCCGCCUGGGGACUACGGUCGCAAGACUAAAACUCAAAUGAAUUGGCGGGG
rnacentral:rRNA from 1 species